GCCUACAGCCAUACCACCCUGAGAACACCAGAUCUCGUCUGACCUCAGAAGCUAGAGAAGGGUCAGGCUCAGUCAGUACUUGGGUGGGAGACUGCCUGGGAAUCCUGAGCGCUGUAGGCU
ensembl:rRNA 5S_rRNA 5S ribosomal RNA